rnacentral:rRNA from 1 species
GGGCCCGCACAAGCGGUGGAGCAUGUGGUUUAAUUCGAAGCAACGCGAAGAACCUUACCAGUCCUUGACAUGGGUAGUUUGGAUUUUGGAGACAAUCUCCUUCAGUUCGGCUGGCUACCACACAGGUGCUGCACGGCUGUCGUCAGCUCGUGUCGUGAGAUGUUGGGUUAAGUCCCGCAACGAGCGCAACCCUCAUCUUUAGUUGCCAUCAGUUCGGCUGGGCACUCUAGAGAAACUGCCUGCGAUGAGCAGGAGGAAGGCGGGGACGACGUCAAGUCAUCAUGGCCCUUAUGGACUGGGCUACACACGUGCUACAAUGGCGGUGACAAUGGGCAGCGACAGAGCGAUCUGAAGCAAAUCUCAAAAACCGUCCCAGUUCGGAUUGUACUCUGCAACUCGAGUGCAUGAAGUUGGAAUC